GAUGAACGCUGGCGGCGUGCCUAAUACAUGCAAGUCGAGCGAACGGACGAGGAGCUUGCUUCUCUGAUGUUAGCGGCGGACGGGUGAGUAACACGUGGAUAACCUACCUAUAAGACUGGGAUAACUUCGGGAAACCGGAGCUAAUACCGGAUAAUAUUUUGAACCGCAUGGUUCAAUAGUGAAAGACGGUCUUGCUGUCACUUAUAGAUGGAUCCGCGCUGCAUUAGCUAGUUGGUAAGGUAACGGCUUACCAAGGCAACGAUGCGUAGCCGACCUGAGAGGGUGAUCGGCCACACUGGAACUGAGACACGGUCCAGACUCCUACGGGAGGCAGCAGUAGGGAAUCUUCCGCAAUGGGCGAAAGCCUGACGGAGCAACGCCGCGUGAGUGAUGAAGGUCUUCGGAUCGUAAAACUCUGUUAUUAGGGAAGAACAAAUGUGUAAGUAACUGUGCACGUCUUGACGGUACCUAAUCAGAAAGCCACGGCUAACUACGUG
rnacentral:rRNA from 1 species